AUACGGAGGAUCCGAGCGUUAUCCGGAUUUAUUGGGUUUAAAGGGUGCGCAGGCGGCCAUUUAAGUCAGCGGUUAAAUCGUGGGGCUCAACCCCAUUCUGCCGUUGAUACUGGGUGGCUUGAUUGCGGUCGAGGUUGGCGGAAUUCGUUGUGUAGCGGUGAAAUGCAUAGAUAUGACGAAGGACACCGAUUGCGUAGGCAGCUGACCAGACCGCAAAUGACGCUCAUGCACGAAAGUGCGGGGAUCGAACAGGACUAGAUACCCUGGUAGUCCGCACAGUAAACGAUGAAUACUUGUUUUCGGCGAUAUAAUGUCGGAGGCAAAGCGAAAGCGAUAAGUAUUCCACCUGGGGAGUACGCCGGCAACGGUGAAACUCAAAUGAAUUGACGGGG
rnacentral:rRNA from 1 species